CAACCCUAAGAUUAGUAUUCCAUGCCCCUUGCGGGCGAGAGACCCCAUCUAGACUAGGUGGUUGAUAGGCCGGACGUGUAAAGGCAGAAAUGCCCUAAGCCUACCGGUACUAACGGUCGAUUGCUUGGCCAC
rnacentral:rRNA from 1 species